CAAUAUUUGAAACAUACAUUUUUUUUUUCAUUGUUCAUUUGGGAUUCAAAUUUAACUGGAUGUCCUAUAUUUUAUCUGGCAACACUAACUAGUUAACAAUCAAGGAUCCUAUUACUAAUCGAGGGUGAAGGGGCACAGGGAGGAAGGGUCCUAUUACUAAUCGAGGGUGAAGGGGCACAGGGAGGAAGGGUGACCACUGAAGGACAAUCAGAAGUCUCUGCCACAAAGUGAGACCCCUCGAAGUGGGUGGCAAUAAAUGUUGGUCCUCUCUUCCCUUUCCCUGUAAGGCAAGGCAAAACCAGAGGGUGGCUGCAGGGAUAACUGCUGGUAGAGCCAACAUCUGUUUUUGAAAUAGAACCAAUGUUCUAUUUCAAUGGCUAGUUUAAUCACAUGAGAUGCAUGUACUUGGUUAAGACCUCAGAGAUCUCUGCUGUAUGCAUGAAAGAGACAACUGUGGCCUGAAAAGCAACAUUAAUAAAAGCACUGCUUCUUUUUAAUCACAAAAA
rnacentral:lncRNA from 1 species